UGUUCAGUUGGAGGCAUGUCUUCUGCCCUUGAAUUUCCCGUUAGGUUUACAAAUCAGACUGUUGCCCUGACUGAUACUUUCUGGGGGAGCCGUUCCUCCUUUUACAUGCUCUCUAUCAAUCUCCCUGCUAUUUAAACUGAGUCUUAAAGUCUCUACUUUCCCCUCUGAACUUUAAAGAGGUUUCCUUCUCUUACAGGUUAGCUGUCAGGGAGCAUGGCCUUUGCCUAGAAUUUGGGGGAAGCGGGAGUUCAGAAAGAUGGCAGGGGAGGGGCAGGCUCUGUUCCCCUCAGCACUCCCUGGCAGGAGUCCUGUGAUGUGACAUCACAAGGACACUGAGUGUUUGUUUAUUUUUGGUCUCUAGGCUUCAGUGGGGGUUAUUAUCACAUUGUUGUCUGCACACUUCCCUUGACUUCACGUCAAUUCUGCCUGAUGCCCACACCUUCCAGGUCUUCACUGUGCUCCAGCUGCAGUAUCAGUGGAAUUGUGUGAUGUGGAUAUGAUGGAAGGAAAGGCAUUCAACACCAACAUCUUUCCGGAUGCCUGGCAGCACCAGUUACCACUGCAGUGGCUGGGCCUGGGUCCAGGAAGGGAGCUUUCUUCCCUUGGAAAGAAAAGAUGGCAUCUGCCACUGGGGAAGAGCCUUAUGCCCCAGCCCAAGGAAGGUGGAUUGGAAUUGGAAAGGUGGCUAGAGCUCCCAUUAUUCCUGUUUUGUAGAGGUGGGCCCAGAAAAAUGACAGAAGACACCCAAGCUCCAGCAGCAGAUUUGGUGAAUAUCCUUCAGCCUUCCCAGUUCUGCUUGCAGGUUUCAGUUUCACUCCGAGCUGUGAUUCAUUUCUGUCCCCUUUGUCUCCGUGUCUCUCCUUCCUAGUGACCCAGCCUCCUUUUGGCCUUCAGUGGGGUGAAGAGAAGUGUGAGUUGUGCCUGGUGUCUUCCAUCAGCCCUGAGCCGCCCAGGGCCGAGCUGGGGGACAGAUAGCAGCACACAGAGCUUCAUUUUCCUCAGCUCUUCAGCCACGUCAAACACUUCUUACAAUAAUAGACUCCAAUGUGCGGUUGAUGUCCAGGACAGACAGAGGUCUUGGCAGAAGCUGGGAUUGCUUUCCCAUUUCACUGAGUUUAUAAAAAUGACAUUUUUGAACUUUAAAUCUUAGCAUUCAUGACCCUUAGUAUUUUCCCUCUUUUUGUCACUCGCUUCUUUGAAGAUCAAGUCACCUAUUCCUCCAGCUUAAGACAAUGUUUCAGGUGAUAAGAAAAGACAAAACAUCAGAGACCCCAGAGGUGCCAAUUGUCUACUCCUUUCAUGCUAACAACUUGCAUUUCUACUCAUUGGUUACAGAAAAGUAACUACCUCUUUCUCUCAGCGUGCUGUGGGGGGCUUUGUCUGUGCCAAAGUAGCUAGAUCAGACUUUUUAAUGAGCAAGACUCAAAAAAAGUAAAUUGACUUUUUACAGGGAAACAGGCCAUUCCUCAAAAACUGUUAAAGAUUCUGUCAUCCAGAAUAUCCCUAUCCUGUUGACCUUAUUUACAGAUUUCAUGAAAAAUACAUCAUCGUAACAUUGAUAUAUGGACCCUGUAGCAUCCAAUUUCUUGAAGGCAUCUGUACCUGAUAAGGAUGCUGGUCAUGCACUCAUAAACAUGGGGGCAAUAUAAAUGAGACGAUGCCCCAUGGAAUAUAAUACAUAGAUGCUUUUCUAAAAUGUGCUCCUAUCCUUUGGAAAUAAAGCAGUUUGGUUCUCUACCUUGGCUCUGAAC
rnacentral:lncRNA from 1 species